rnacentral:rRNA from 1 species
GUCUACAGCCACACCACCCUGAACGCACCCAAGCUUGUCUGAUCUCGGAAGCUAAGCAAGGUUGGGCCUGGUUAGUGCUUGGAUG